GAUGAACGCUGGCGGCGUGCCUAAUACAUGCAAGUCGAGCGAACAGAUGAGGAGCUUGCUCCUCUGACGUUAGCGGCGGACGGGUGAGUAACACGUGGAUAACCUACCUAUAAGACUGGGAUAACUUCGGGAAACCGUAGCUAAUACCGGAUAAUAUAUUGAACCGCAUGGUUCAAUAGUGAAAGACGGUUUUGCUGUCACUUAUAGAUGGAUCCGCGCCGCAUUAGCUAGUUGGUAAGGUAACGGCUUACCAAGGCGACGAUGCGUAGCCGACCUGAGAGGGUGAUCGGCCACACUGGAACUGAGACACGGUCCAGACUCCUACGGGAGGCAGCAGUAGGGAAUCUUCCGCAAUGGGCGAAAGCCUGACGGAGCAACGACGCGUGAGUGAUGAAGGUCUUCGGAUCGUAAAACUCUGUUAUUAGGGAAGAACAAAUGUGUAAGUAACUAUGCACGUCUUGACGGUACCUAAUCAGAAAGCCACGGCUAACUACGUG
rnacentral:rRNA from 1 species